UACGGAGGGUGCAAGCGUUAUCCGGAUUCACUGGGUUUAAAGGGUGCGUAGGAGGGCAGGUAAGUCAGUGGUGAAAUCUCCAAGCUUAACUUGGAAACUGCCGUUGAUACUAUCUGUCUUGAAUACCGUGGAGGUGAGCGGAAUAUGGUCAUGUAGCGGUGAAAUGCUUAGAUAUGAACAUAGUAACACCAAUUGCGAAGGCAGCUCGCUAACAUCGAAUAAUUGGAC
rnacentral:rRNA from 1 species